AGCAGCCGCGGUAAUUCCAGCUCCAAUAGCGUAUAUUAAAGUUGCUGCAGUUAAAAAAGCUCGUAGUUGAAUUUCGGGACCAAUAUGUCGGUCGUGCUUAGGUACGUACUGGCAUUGUUGGUUUCUCCUUUCUGAAGAACCAUGAUGUCAUUUAUUUGGUGUCGUGGGGAAUCAGGACUGUUACUUUGAAAAAAUUAGAGUGUUUAAAGCAGGCUCACGCUUGAAUACAUUAGCAUGGAAUAAUGAAAUAGGACGUUUGAUUCUAUUUUGUUGGUUUCUAGGAUCGACGUAAUGAUUAAUAGGGAUAGUUGGGGGCAUUAGUAUUCAAUUGUCAGAGGUGAAAUUCUUGGAUUUAUUGAAGACUAACUACUGCGAAAGCAUUUGCCAAGGAUGUUUUCAUUAAUCAAGAACGAAAGUUAGGGGAUCGAAGACGAUCAGAUACCGUCGUAG
rnacentral:rRNA from 1 species